CAAGAAGACCAUACUCCUCAACCCAGUUUUCAAGGCUCUCUUCACUAGCAGUUGGAUUCCCACCUUCCAACUUUCUCUCAUAUGUUUCCAAUUUGUUCCUCAAGACCCAGCUUAGAGCCAGCUACACCUUGUAAGGCUCACAAAGGAUGAAGCUGAUCUGCAGUACUAAGUAAAAGCUGGCCUCAAGGCAGGGGGCCUGGGACACAGAGAAAGACAGGCACCUACACCGUCCACAGGAGGGCAGGCUCCCAUUCGGGGCAGCGGGUCUGAUUCCCACCGCCUCGUUCAUUCCCACCAUAAUCUGCUAACUCCCACUUAGUCUGCUUGAGAGGACAGGGAGUUAAAACAUGGGCUAGGUCUCGGACUUGAAGGCUGUUGCAUUUUUGGAGUCAGAGUGUUGGUUCCCUGGUCUGAACUUUUAAACCGCUAAGUGGAACCUCUUUUAUUUCUCUCUCAACGACACCGCCAUCCCAAUCUCAGUUAGUGCUCUGUGCUCAAGAAGUAACUGUCAGCAACUCCUCCUCCUCCUCCCUCCCCUUCUCCUUCUGGAUAAUCAGUAGCUCUUUCGAGAAAAGCCCAACUAUUGGGGUCAGUGGUUCUCAACUGGGGAAUGCACAUCAGAAUCACCUGGGCAGCUGGAAAAAAAAAAGACUCCUGAGCUCUAUCCUAGAUUUAUUGAAUCCCAAUCACCAUGGGUGAGGCCAGGAAUUCUGAAAGGUUUAAAAUCUCCCCAGGUGAUAUGGAUGCACAGCCGAUGAAGAUACAGUCAGCCAGUGUGACUAACUCUACAGGGCAAAUGACCCAGUUUCUUCAACAAAUACACGACAUGAAAAACGGAGGCGAGCAGAAAGCGUCACAAAUGAAAAGACCUGAAACAUGUCAACCAAGUGCGAUGUGCAGACCUUGUUUCGAUCUGAGCAAACUAAAAAUAGGCAUUUUGAGACAGAGAAAACUGGACACAGAUUAUCUAUAUUAAGAAAUUAUUAUUUAUUUCGUUGGAUGUGAUGUUGGUAUGAUGGUUGUGUUAAAAAUCUGUUUCUGUUAGAGAUAAAUACUGACGUAUCUACAGGUGAAUUAAUGUACAUGAAAUUUGCUUUUAAAUAUUCCAGAAAGAAACCCAAACACGUGGCAGGAAAUGAUGAAGCAAGGAUGGCAGCAUGCGGUUAAUUGUUGAAAUUGCCUGAUAGGUCCGAGGGGGUUCUUUGUACUAUUUUCUCUGCUUUUGUAUGCGUUUGAAAAUUUCAGUAAUGAAAACAUUUCAAAAGAAUGACAGGAUUUGAAGACCCCAGCUCCUUCCGAGUCUGGUUUUCC
rnacentral:lncRNA from 1 species